UAGGGAAUCUUCCACAAUGGACGCAAGUCUGAUGGAGCAACGCCGCGUGAGUGAAGAAGGUUUUCGGAUCGUAAAGCUCUGUUGUUGGUGAAGAAGGAUAGAGGCAGUAACUGGUCUUUAUUUGACGGUAAUCAACCAGAAAGUCACGGCUAACUACGUGCCAGCAGCCGCGGUAAUACGUAGGUGGCAAGCGUUGUCCGGAUUUAUUGGGCGUAAAGCGAGCGCAGGCGGAAUGAUAAGUCUGAUGUGAAAGCCCACGGCUCAACCGUGGAACUGCAUCGGAAACUGUCAUUCUUGAGUGCAGAAGAGGAGAGUGGAAUUCCAAGUGUAGCGGUGGAAUGCGUAGAUAUAUGGAAGAACACCAGUGGCGAAGGCGGCUCUCUGGUCUGCAACUGACGCUGAGGCUCGAAAGCAUGGGUAGCGAACAGG
rnacentral:rRNA from 1 species